rnacentral:rRNA from 1 species
UACGUAGGGGGUUAGCGUUGUCCGGAAUCAUUGGGCGUAAAGCGCGUGUAGGCGGUCCGGUAAGUCCGCUGUGAAAGCCAGGGGCUCAACCCUUGGAUGCCGGUGGAUACUGUCGGGCUUGAGUACGGAAGAGGCGAGUGGAAUUCCUGGUGUAGCGGUGAAAUGCGCAGAUAUCAGGAGGAACACCAAUUGCGAAGGCAGCUCGCUGGGACGUUACUGACGCUGAGACGCGAAAGCGUGGGGAGCAAACAGG